rnacentral:rRNA from 1 species
GACGAACGCUGGCGGCGUGCUUAACACAUGCAAGUCGAACGGUGAAGCGCCUUCCUUUUUGUUUUGUGUGGAUGAGUUGCGAACGGGUGAGUAACACGUUCGUAACCUGCCCCCUUCUUCUGGAUAACCGCAUGAAAGUGUCGCUAAUACUGCAUAUUCUGUGUCUGUCGCAUGAUGGGUCUUUGAAAGCUUUUGUUUCUGUGUGGGCUGGGCUCGCGUCCUAUCAGGUUGUUGGUGGGGUGAUGGCCUAACAAGGCGAUGAGGGGUAGCCGGGCUGAGAGGAUGGGCGGUAAUAGUGGGGAGGAGACACGGAGAAGACUACGAGGGGAGGCAGAAGGGGAUAAUGGAGCACAGGGGGAAGAAGGCUGAAGCAGCGACGCGGCGGGAGAGAAGGAGGCCGGCGGGUAGUGAACUUCUGUAGGGAGAGAAGCGGGGCAGCCUAGUAUGUGGGUGGGUUGACGGUAGCUGGAGAAGAAGCGCCGGCUAACUACGUG